GGGGCCACCAGCAGGGGCGAGGACUGCACGGGGGGUGGCGGCGGGGGGGCCUUGGACUUGUUGAGGGAGAGGUCGACGGGCUCGGCCUGGGGCUGGCUGCAGUCGGAGGCCAGCAGCUCCUCGGGGGGCUCCGUCUUGAUGUCGCUCAGCAGCACGGGGGGCUCCAGCGGCGCCUCGGCCAGCAGCGAGGACGAGCUCAUCCUGGGGGCCGCUUUGCCCCGCCCCGAGCCUCCCGCCUGCCAAAAUUUGCCGCGCGCCUCCUCGCAGUGCAUCGCCGCGCUGCCCGGGCCCCGGGCGG
rnacentral:lncRNA from 1 species